rnacentral:rRNA from 1 species
UACGUAGGGGGCAAGCGUUGUCCGGAAUUAUUGGGCGUAAAGAGCGUGUAGGCGGCCAGAUAAGUCCGCUGUGAAAUCUCGAGGCUCAACUUCGAGCUGUCGGUGGAAACUAUCUGGCUAGAGUCCGGAAGAGGAGAAUGGAAUUCCUGGUGUAGCGGUGAAAUGCGCAGAUAUCAGGAAGAACACCCGUGGCGAAGGCGGAUCUCUGG